CCUACGGGAGGCAGCAGUGAGGAAUAUUGGUCAAUGGCCGGAAGGCUGAACCAGCCAUGCCGCGUGAAGGUCAGUGCCCUAUGGGCGUUAAACUUCUUUUGUGCGGGAGCAAUAAUGGUCACGUGUGGCCAGACGAGAGUACCGUACGAAUAAGCAUCGGCUCACUCCGUGCCAGCAGCAGCGGUAACACGGGGGAUGCAAGCGUUAUCCGGAUUUAUUGGGUUUAAAGGGUGCGUAGGCGGUGAGGUAAGUCAGCGGUGAAAUGCACCCGCUCAACGGGGGGAAGUGCCAUUGAUACUGCCUAGCUGGAGUGCGGAGGCCGUGGGAGGAAUGUGUGGUGUAGCGGUGAAAUGCAUAGAUAUCACACAGAACAUCGAUUGCGAAGGCAUCUCACCAAUCCGCGAUUGACGCUGAUGCACGAAAGCGUGGGUAUCAAACAGGAUUAGAUACCCCAGUAGUC
rnacentral:rRNA from 1 species